rnacentral:rRNA from 1 species
AACGAACGCUGGCGGCAUGCCUAACACAUGCAAGUCGAACGAGACCUUCGGGUCUAGUGGCGCACGGGUGCGUACCGCGUGGGAACCUGCCCUUAGGUUCGGAAUAACUCCCCGAAAGGGGUGCUAAUACCGGAUAAUGUCUUCGGACCAAAGAUUUAUCGCCUUUGGAUGGGCCCGCGUUGGAUUAGCUAGUUGGUAGGGUAAAAGCCUACCAAGGCGACGAUCCAUAGCUGGUCUGAUAGGAUGACCAGCCACACUGGGACUGAGACACGGCCCAGACUCCUACGCGAGGCAGCAGUGGGGAAUAUUGGACGAUGGGCGAAAGCCUGAUCCAGCAAUGCCGCGGGAGUGAUGAAGGCCUUAGGGUUGUAAAGCUCUUUUACCCGGGAUGAUAAUGACAGUACCGGGAGAAUAAGCUCCGGCUAACUCCGUG